rnacentral:misc_RNA from 1 species
GGAUCACAGUGGUCACACUGAUGAGAUGGUAUGUUCUAUAUUUAACGCAAUAGCAUGAACUGCGAAUAGAAAGGAUAUCCUCCCUCAUGUUAUCUUUAUGUUUUUUAUCAUACAAAUGACUUAACAUGAUAAAAAUUUAGUUCUCAAGCUGAAAUUGGUACUUUUUUGAGCCCCUAGUCUUUGGAAAUUAAUUACUUAAAUAGUGGUCAUCAUCAAUCUGGUUGAAGACCUCUUCUCAGUGUAUAAUUGUAACAUAGGGUCUAAGUUUUGGAAAGUUGAUUUGAUUUUAUGUAUGGAUUAUAGUGGAAUUCGAGCCCCUUCUUUUGAGACUGGAA